UUUCUGGUAUCUCAGCUGGUAAAGAAUCUGCCUGCAAUGCAGGAGAUCCUGGUUAAUUCCUGGGUUGGAAAG
rnacentral:tRNA from 1 species